GUUGCGGUGGCCGAGUGGUUAAGGCGUUGGACUUGAAAUCCAAUGGGAUCUUCCCGCGCAGGUUCGAAUCCUGCUCGCAACA
rnacentral:tRNA from 2 species